rnacentral:lncRNA from 1 species
GCCAAGGAGUGGUAGGGCCACGUGGAAUCUGUUACAAAGAGUGGAGUGAUGUCCGUUGUCAUGACUUGUUGGAGAGUUCGAGUCGGACGGCUGAAGCUUGGCUGGGACAUCUGGAUGGAGCAGACUGGCUCUCUGUCUCAGCAAUCUAAGAGUGGCUCGGAUGUUUCUGAGGUUGCUGACGAGUCCACUGUUGUCAGGGACAUCUGGAUGGAGCAGACUGGCUCUCUGUCUCAGC